rnacentral:tRNA from 1 species
GGGCCGCUAGCUCAAUUGGUAGAGCGCUCGGCUCUUAACCGAGAUGUUACAGGUUCAAUCCCUGUGCGGCCCA